UACGUAGGGUGCGAGCGUUGUCCGGAAUUAUUGGGCGUAAAGAGCUCGUAGGCGGUCUGUCGCGUCGGUCGUGAAAACUUGGGGCUUAACCCUGAGCUUGCGGUCGAUACGGGCAUGACUGGAGUUCGGUAGGGGAGACUGGAAUUCCUGGUGUAGCGGUGAAAUGCGCAGAUAUCAGGAGGAACACCGAUGGCGAAGGCAGGUCUCUGGGCCGCAACUGACGCUGAGGAGCGAAAGCAUGGGGAGCGAACAGG
rnacentral:rRNA from 1 species